rnacentral:rRNA from 1 species
UACGAAGGGGGCUAGCGUUGCUCGGAAUUACUGGGCGUAAAGGGCGCGUAGGCGGACAGUUUAGUCAGAGGUGAAAGCCCAGGGCUCAACCUUGGAAUAGCCUUUGAUACUGGCUGUCUUGAGUUCGGGAGAGGUGAGUGGAAUGCCGAGUGUAGAGGUGAAAUUCGUAGAUAUUCGGCGGAACACCAGUGGCGAGGGCGACUCACUGGCCCGAUACUGACGCUGAGGCGCGAAAGCGUGGGGAGCAAACAGG